AAAGCUUUAAGUUAAAUAAACUAUUAACCUUCAAAGUUAAAAAUAUAAUAUAUUGUAAGCUUUA
rnacentral:tRNA from 1 species